CCUACGGGUGGCUGCAGUGGGGAAUAUUGCACAAUGGGGGAAACCCUGAUGCAGCGACGCCGCGUGAGUGAAGAAGUAUUUCGGUAUGUAAAGCUCUAUCAGCAGGGAAGAAAAUGACGGUACCUGUCUCAGAAGCCCCGGCUAACUACGUGCCAGCAGCCGCGGUAUUACGGCGGGGGCAAGCGUUAUCCGGUAUUACUGGGUGUAAAGGGAGCGCAGACGGCCAGACAAGUCAGAAGUGAAAGCCCAGGGCUCAACCCGGGAACUGCUUUUGAAACUGCCAGGCUGGAGUGCAGUAGAGGUAAGCGGAAUGCCUAGUGUAGCGGUGAAAUGCGUAGAUAUUAGGAGGAACACCAGUGGCGAAGGCGGCUUACUGGAC
rnacentral:rRNA from 1 species